GGUGGCUCAGUGGUAGAGCGCUUGCCUUGUAUGCAUUGCCUUGAAUGCAUGAGGCCCUGAGUUCGAUUCCUCAGCACCG
rnacentral:tRNA from 1 species